CCUAUGGGUGGCAGCAGUGGGGAAUAUUGCACAAUGGGGGAAACCCUGAUGCAGCGACGCCGCGUGAGUGAAGAAGUAUUUCGGUAUGUAAAGCUCUAUCAGCAGGGAAGAAAAUGACGGUACCUGAUUAAGAAGCCCCGGCUAACUCCGUGCCAGCAGCCGCGGAAUUCGGUGGGGGGCAAGCGUUAUCCGGAUUUACUGGGGGAAAGGGGAGCGUAGACGGCAGCGAAGGUCUGAAGUGAAAUGCCGGGGCUUAACCCCGGAACUGCUUUGGAAACUGUGCAGCUAGAGUGCAGGAGAGGUAAGUGGAAUUCCUAGUGUAGCGGUGAAAUGCGUAGAUAUUAGGAGGAACACCAGUGGCGAAGGCGGCUUACUGGACUGUAACUGACGUUGAGGCUCGAAAGCGUGGGGAGCAAACAGGAUUAGAUACCCGUGUAGUC
rnacentral:rRNA from 1 species